UGCACCAAGCAGUGGAUCACUCAGUUCGAUGGUUGAUGAAGAACGCAGCUAACUGCAUAAAUUAAUGUGAAUUGCAAGACACAUUGAAAAUCAACAUUUCGAUCGCACAUUGAUGAUAUUUGUGUAUUGUAUGGUUCUUCCCUGCCAAGAGUUG
rnacentral:rRNA from 1 species